rnacentral:lncRNA from 10 species
UGCCCUGGGACAGGAAUGAAGGAAUCGCUGCCAGGUUAUCAGGGUACAUUUCCUGAGAGCCCAAGGCCUGACUCAGAGGCCGGAGGAGGGAGGAGGGAGGGGACCUCCCCCUUGGGCUUCCCGCUUAGCCUCUGAUGCCCAGCCCCUCAGCCUGCCCACGGCGAUGCCACAAGGCCACACAGCCAUGCCCACGAGGAUCCAGGACCCUUCCGUCAUCUGGCACAGGAGGGGCGGUGCUGAGGUCAUCUGCAGAGUUGGAGCGAGGCCACGUGGGUCUGCUGCCCUUCCUCUUGGUCCCCUCCCCCUUUCCCCAGGGUCUGGCCACGAAGCACUCUGGUCUGCAUCCCUAGACAUCCAGGUCCCUGGUUUCUCUCCCGGGUCCAGCUAGGGUCCCAUUUGGGGCCAAAUACCCAAUAAUUCCAAUCCUGGCCAGGUGCAGUGGCUCACACCUCUAAUCCCAACCCUUUGGGAAGCCAAGGUGGGCGGAUCAUUUGAGGUGAGGAGUUUGAGUCCAGCUUGGCCAACAUGGUGAAACCCUGUCUCUACUAAAAAUACAAAAAUUAACCAGGUGUGGUGGUGCAUGCUUGUAAUCCCAGCUACUAGGGAGGCUGAGGCAGG